rnacentral:lncRNA from 10 species
AACCUCCUCCCACAGGAGCUUGCUACAUGUGACGGAAAUCUGGCCACUGGGCCAAGGAAUGCCCGCAGCCCGGGAUUCCUCCUAAGCCGUAUCCCAUCUGUGUGGGACCCCAGUGAAAAUCGGACUGUUCAACUCACCUGGCAGCCACUCCCAGAGCCCCUGGAACUCUGGCCCAAGGCUCUCUGACCGACUCCUUCCCAGAUCUUCUCGGCUUAGCGGCUGAAGACUGACACUGCCCAAUCGCCUCGGAAGCCCCCUAGACCAUCACGCACGCCGAGCUUCGGGUAACUCUCACAGUGGAAGAGAUGGCAUCUUCAGCACGAACGCUGGCUGUGAGGACUUUGGAUGGAAGAACAGAAGAGGAGAAUGCUAGGAAUUCCCUGUACAACUGGAAAGAAGAGUGCUCAGCACAGCAUGGGGCUGAAGCCUAAGUACAACAAUAAUGAGUUAGACUUGGUUCUCAUGGAACCAACAGGCCACUUACUCCUUUAGCUGCUUGGUUAACUUCACCACUUGAGAGGCCAGCGACAUGCAGGUCUCCACCACCACCAGGUACCU